GUUCAGUAUCAUAAAGAUAACAUCUCAUCCAGAGGAAAGUGCCACAGCAUGUUCCGAAGAGAUGAUUGGAAGAUGGAAGUGGAGGGUUAAAUAAUGAAAUGCAGCUAACAUUUCGGAAAGUUUCUAAAAGUUGUACAACAUGCCCUACAGCUACUCUUUAAAUCUCCAAAUCAAAUGAGUUUCAGGUGGAGCCUCUGGGAGGUGAUGAGGUCAUGAGAGUGGAGCCUCAUGAAUGGGAUGAGCACUCCUACAAAAAGGAUUCCAGAGAGCUCGCUUGCUCCUUCCACAGUGUGAGGACACAGAGGGAAGGCUCUGUCUAUGAAUGAGAAAGUGGGUCCCCACCAGACAUUGAAUCUGCCGCAUCUUGAUACUGGACUUCCAGUCUCCAGAACUGUGGGCAAUAAAUGUCUGUUGUUUAUUACCUGUCCAGUAUCUUUGGUAUUUUGCUAUAGCAACCCAAAUGGACUAAGAAAACACCAGAGGCCAUACCUAAUAAAAAU
rnacentral:lncRNA from 1 species